GACGAACGCUGGCGGCGUGCCUAAUACAUGCAAGUCGAACGGACCGCGACUAAGUGCUUGCACUACGUCAAGGUGAGUGGCGAACGGGUGAGUAACACGUAGCUAACCUACCUCACAGUGCGGGAUAACAGUCGGAAACGCCUGCUAAUACCGCAUAGGACAUAUGAUCACAUGAUCCAGUGAGGAAAGGUGGCGCAAGCUAUCGCUAAGAGAUGGACCCGCGGUGCAUUAGCUCGGUGGUAGGGUAAAGGCCUACCAAGGCGAUGAUGCAUAGCCGACCUGAGAGGGGGAUCGGCCACCUUGGGACUGAGCCACGGCCCGAACUCCUCCGGGAGGCAGCAGAAGGGUAUCUUACGCAAUGGAAGCAAGUCUGACGGAGCAACGCCGCGUGAGUGAAGAAGGUCUUCGGAUCGUAAAGCUCUGUUGUUAGAGAAGAACAGCGCAUAGAGUAACUGCUAUGCGUGUGAAGGUAUCUAAUCAGAAAGCCACGGCUAACUACGUG
rnacentral:rRNA from 1 species